UUUAGGGAAACCGAGUCUUAAUAGGGCGUCUAGUUGCUGGGUGUAGACCCGAAACCGAGUGAUCUAUCCAUGGCCAGGAUGAAGGUGCCGUAACAGGUACUGGAGGUCCGAACCCACGCAUGUUGCAAAAUGCGGGGAUGAGCUGUGGAUAGGGGUGAAAGGCUAAACAAACUCGGAGAUAGCUGGUUCUCCCCGAAAACUAUUUAGGUAGUGCCUCGAGCAAGACACUGAUGGGGGUAAAGCACUGUUAUGGCUAGGGGGUUAUUGUAACUUACCAACCCAUGGCAAACUAAGAAUACCAUCAAGUGAUUCCUCGGGAGACAGACAGCGGGUGCUAACGUCCGUUGUCAAGAGGGAAACAACCCAGACCGCCAGCUAAGGUCCCAAAUGAUAGAUUAAGUGGUAAACGAAGUGGGAAGGCCCAGAUAGUUAGGAUGUUGGCUUAGAAGUAGCCAUCAUUUAAAGAAAGUGUAAUAGUUUAUUGGUUGAGUCGUCCUGCGCGGAAGAUGUAACGGGGCUCAAAUCUAUAACCGAAGCUGCGGAUACGUGUUUACACGUAUGGCAGGGGAGCGUUCUGUAGGCCGAUGAAGGUGAAUCGAGAGGUUUGCUGGAGGUAUCAGAAGUGCGAAUGUUGACAUGAGUAGCGAUAAAGCGGGUGAAAAGCCCGCUCGCCGAAAACCCAAGGUUUCCUACGCAACGUUCAUCGGCGUAGGGUGAGUCGGCCCCUAAGGCGAGGCAGAAAUGCGUAGUCGAUGGGAAACGGGUUAAUAUUCCCGUACUUUGAUUUGGUGCGAUGUGGGGACGGAGAAGGUUAUGUCAGCAAGCUGUUGGAAUAGCUUGUUCAAGCCGGUAGGUGGAAAGUUUAGGCAAAUCCGGACUUUCAUAACACCGAGAAGCGAUAACGAUUGUCUACGGACAAGAAGUGACAGAUACCGCGCUUCCAGGAAAAGCCACUAAGCUUCAGCCAAGUCAGAACCGUACCGCAAACCGACACAGGUGGGUAGGAUGAGAAUUCUAAGGCUUGAGAGAACUCAGGAGAAGGAACUCGGCAAAUUGAUACCGUAACUUCGGGAGAAGGUAUGCCCUUUGAUGUGAAAGACUAGCUCUGUAAGCAUCGGAGGGUCGCAGAGAAUCGGAGGCUGCGACUGUUUAUUAAAAACACAGCACUCUGCUAACACGAAAGUGGACGUAUAGGGUGUGACGCCUGCCCGGUGCUGGAAGGUUAAUUGAAGAUGUGAGAGCAUUGGAUCGAAGCCCCAGUAAACGGCGGCCGUAAUAAUAACGGUCCUAAGGUAGUGAAAUUCCUUGUCGGGUAAGUUCCGACCCGCACGAAUGGCGUAACGAUGGCCACACUGUCUCCUCCUGAGACUCAGCGAAGUUGAAAUGGUUGUGAAGAUGCAAUCUCCCCGCUGCUAGACGGAAAGACCCCGUGAACCUUUACUGUAGCUUUGCAUUGGACUUUGAAGUCACUUGUGUAGGAUAGGUGGGAGGCUUAGAAGCG
rnacentral:rRNA from 1 species